rnacentral:lncRNA from 1 species
AUUCGUUCAUGCUUGGACUUUUAUCGGGUGACGUGUACUUCGUGCUCGAAUUCAUCGGUGAAAUUUAGUUUACACAUGUGACAGAAAUGAUUUCUUCCGAAAACUAAACUUCGAGAGAACGAGACGAAUCCAGAGUAUUACGAAUAGGUCCAGUCAAUAAAGACCGUUUGCCGUGAUUUCAGAAGAGAAGGUGAAAACUUGAUCUAAGGGUAAUAAACGACGCUGAAUCGAA